UGCUGGGGGACUCCCAGCCUUCCCUGUGACCCAAGAAGGAGAAGCGGUGGCUCUGUGAAGCAGGCAUGGAGAGGAGAAAACUGAUUUCUGCUACAGACAGUCAAUACUCUGGCAGUCUGCUGACCUCCUCGAGUGAGCAACAUGGCCAUGGACUCUUCUGUGAUGUUCCCACGAUCAUGGAAGACUGAAAAUUCUGGACCCACAAGAAUAUUCCCUCGGCUUCUAGGACCUACUUCCAUCAGCUCUUCUCAGUGGCUGGGCUGAUACCUCCUCAAAUACCAGAUUGAUGGAUUGUGAAUAUAGAAGAUGCAGGUUCUUACACUUCUCCAAGAACUGCUUUCCAAUUCCUUAAAAAUUUCAGAUAUAACCACUAGAAAUACAAAUGAUCCAGACUUAGGAUUCAAACAUCUAAUGGAGGGAAGGCUUAUCGACUAGUUGCAAGGUUUAUGCAAAUAUCGAUGAAGAUACUUACGACAAAGUGAUCACUGUCAAAGAUGACCCUGAUCAAGGGGAGGCCAGACUUGAGAAUGAAAUACCAGAAACGUCUGGCAGCGAGAUGGCAAAAAAACAAACAUAUGAAAGUAACACAUGAUGGUCACUAUGAGUUCAGAGUAGAUGGAAGGGUAUAGCUGUAUCGUAUGCAAGAGGUCAUAUGUCUGUCUGACAAGCUUGCGGAGACAUUUUCACAUUCUUUCUUGGGAGAAGUAUCUGUGCCAUUACUGUGAGAAGGUGUUUCUUCUUGCAAAAAUACCGCACAAAGCAUGAAAUUCAUCACAUAGGGGAGGGAAGGUGUCAGUGUCUGGCCUGUGGCAAAUCAUUCACCAACUCUCAGUUUAUGUCUAAACAUAUAAAAUCCUUUCACAGUCAAGAUCCUUCUGGGGCCUCAAAGCUUUAUCGUUUACAACCACACAAGUCUUGACAGAUCAGACAACAUGCAUAUCUUUCUGAGAGAUCAAGCACUAUGCCUGCAAUAAAUGAGGAUGGUUUUGGGUAUAAGAUUGACACUGGAAAAGAACCUCCAGUAGGGACCACAACAUCUACUCAGAACAAGCCAGUGACCUGGGAAGAUAUUUUUAUUCAGCAGGAAAAUGAUUCCAUUUUAAAAUAGAAUGUAACAGAUGGCAGUACUGAGUUUGAAUUUAUAAUACCAGAAUCUUACUAAACUCCUUUGAAAUACUAGAAAGUUUUGUUUUGGAUGAUGAGGCAGGGGUUUCAGAAGAUCAGUAAAACAAAUUAAGGGGCAAACAAAUUAAUUUGACCUGCCACCUUAUCUGAAGGUAGUGGAGUGGGAUUAUUUGUUGAUAAGUUUUGUAGAAGCAAAUUUUUCUGAAAGUUUGGGUAGAGGUGAGACCCUCUCCCGCUCCAAGCAUCUGUUUAUAUAGUUAGCUUUCAGCUCAUUUAAAAGAGGCAAAAAAUAAAAAGCUUGGAGAGAGAGUUUUCUGAAUAGAAUUUGAAGCAGUCUGAAUGUUCUUUGAAAAUAGCUGGAGUAGCCAGGCGCGGUGGCUCACGCCUGUAAUCCCAGCACUUUGGGAGGCCGAGGCGGGCAGAUCACGAGGUCAGGAGAUCGAGACCAUCCUGGCUAACACGGUGAAACCCCGUCUCUACUAAAAAUACAAAAAAUUAGCCGGGCAUGGUGGCGGGCACCUGUAGUUGGCAUGAACCCGGGAGACGGAGCUUGCAGUGAGCCAAGAUCGCGCCACUGCACUCCAGCCUGGGCGACAGAGCGAGACUCUGUCUCAAAAAAAAAAGAAAAAAAAAAA
rnacentral:lncRNA from 1 species